rnacentral:rRNA from 1 species
AGACCCGAAACCCGGUGAUCUAGCCAUGGGCAGGUUGAAGGUUGGGUAACACUAACUGGAGGACCGAACCGACUAAUGUUGAAAAAUUAGCGGAUGACCUGUGGCUGGGGGUGAAAGGCCAAUCAAACCGGGAGAUAGCUGGUUCUCCCCGAAAGCUAUUUAGGUAGCGCCUCGUGAAUUCAUCUCCGGGGGUAGAGCACUGUUUCGGCUAGGGGGCCAUCCCGGCUUACCAACCCGAUGCAAACUGCGAAUACCGGAGAAUGUUAUCACGGGAGACACACGGCGGGUGCUAACGUCCGUCGUGAAGAGGGAAACAACCCAGACCGCCAGCUAAGGUCCCAAAGUCAUGGUUAAGUGGGAAACGAUGUGGGAAGGCCCAGACAGCCAGGAUGUUGGCUUAGAAGCAGCCAUCAUUUAAAGAAAGCGUAAUAGCUCACUGGUCGAGUCGGCCUGCGCGGAAGAUGUAACGGGGCUAAACCAUGCACCGAAGCUGCGGCAGCGAACGUAUCACCCAAGACAACUUUGCGGAGUUGACGAUUGACGGAGCGAAGCGACGUCAAAGCGUUCAUUAAAGUCGAGUUGGCUUAGGGAUACGUUCGUUGGGUAGGGGAGCGUUCUGUAAGCCUGUGAAGGUGGCCUGUGAGGGUUGCUGGAGGUAUCAGAAGUGCGAAUGCUGACAUAAGUAACGAUAAAGCGGGUGAAAAGCCCGCUCGCCGGAAGACCAAGGGUUCCUGUCCAACGUUAAUCGGGGCAGGGUGAGUCGACCCCUAAGGCGAGGCCGAAAGGCGUAGUCGAUGGGAAACGGGUUAAUAUUCCCGUACUUGGUGUUACUGCGAAGGGGGGACGGAGAAGGCUAUGUUGGCCGGGCGACGGUUGUCCCGGUUUAAGCGUGUAGGUGUGUGUUCCAGGUAAAUCCGGUUCACUUUAACACUGAGGCGUGACGACGAGGCACUACGGUGCUGAAGCAACAAAUGCCCUGCUUCCAGGAAAAGCCUCUAAGCAUCAGGUAACAUCAAAUCGUACCCCAAACCGACACAGGUGGUCAGGUAGAGAAUACCAAGGCGCUUGAGAGAACUCGGGUGAAGGAACUAGGCAAAAUGGUGCCGUAACUUCGGGAGAAGGCACGCUGACACGUAGGUGAAGUGAUUUACUCAUGGAGCUGAAGUCAGUCGAAGAUACCAGCUGGCUGCAACUGUUUAUUAAAAACACAGCACUGUGCAAACACGAAAGUGGACGUAUACGGUGUGACGCCUGCCCGGUGCCGGAAGGUUAAUUGAUGGGGUCAGCGCAAGCGAAGCUCCUGAUCGAAGCCCCGGUAAACGGCGGCCGUAACUAUAACGGUCCUAAGGUAGCGAAAUUCCUUGUCGGGUAAGUUCCGACCUGCACGAAUGGCGUAAUGAUGGCCAGGCUGUCUCCACCCGAGACUCAGUGAAAUUGAACUCGCUGUGAAGAUGCAGUGUACCCGCGGCAAGACGGAAAGACCCCGUGAACCUUUACUAUAGCUUGACACUGAACAUUGAGCCUUGAUGUGUAGGAUAGGUGGGAGGCUUUGAAGUGUGGACGCCAGUCUGCAUGGAGCCGACCUUGAAAUACCACCCUUUAAUGUUUGAUGUUCUAACGUGGACCCGUUACCCGGGUUGCGGACAGUGUCUGGUGGGUAGUUUGACUGGGGCGGUCUCCUCCUAAAGAGUAACGGAGGAGCACGAAGGUUGGCUAAUCCUGGUCGGACAUCAGGAGGUUAGUGCAAUGGCAUAAGCCAGCUUGACUGCGAGCGUGACGGCGCGAGCAGGUGCGAAAGCAGGUCAUAGUGAUCCGGUGGUUCUGAAUGGAAGGGCCAUCGCUCAACGGAUAAAAGGUACUCCGGGGAUAACAGGCUGAUACCGCCCAAGAGUUCAUAUCGACGGCGGUGUUUGGCACCUCGAUGUCGGCUCAUCACAUCCUGGGGCUGAAGUAGGUCCCAAGGGUAUGGCUGUUCGCCAUUUAAAGUGGUACGCGAGCUGGGUUUAGAACGUCGUGAGACAGUUCGGUCCCUAUCUGCCGUGGGCGCUGGAGAACUGAGGGGGGCUGCUCCUAGUACGAGAGGACCGGAGUGGACGCAUCACUGGUGUUCGGGUUGUCAUGCCAAUGGCACUGCCCGGUAGCUAAAUGCGGAAGAGAUAAGUGCUGAAAGCAUCUAAGCACGAAACUUGCCCCGA